GUUAAAAAGAUCCGUAAAUUUAGGGGUCCCUUUACCGUGGAUUUGCUACGGAUUCGCUCCGUUUUGCGAAAUACGGAAAGUUUGCUGUUGCGCAAGGCAGAAUUUUCUCCCCCAGCCAGAAUAUUCCGACGCCAUUACUUUCAGUGCGGUCAGUGCCUACCUAAAUUUCUGCAAGUCACAAGGAAAGUUGGAAACAGAUUCACAAACUCCACCGCGGUUCACCCGGCCUGGCCCCUCAUCAACACCUGAACCACAGAGGUUUCAGCUGCCCUCAACACCACCUGAGACAACCGACUCCCCAUCCCAAGACACAUAUUCUGUACCAUGGCAUAAAUUUCCCUCAAAAGUCAUGGAUGAGUUGCGUGAAAAAAAGUACAUAAUGGGGAAAGACAGACGAGAGAUGGUUCGGAUCGUCGCUGAAGAUUACCUCCAUAAACACCCAGGAAGACCUGGUAGACAAAAGCUGAGGGAACUCGCCAGUAUGAUUGUAGGACAAUAUCCUGCCUCCUUCAAGCUGACAGAGCCGUUUGGAAACAAACCUUUUGCAAAAGAUGGUUCUGAAACUCUCUUUCGUCAGCUGGAACACAGAAUUGAAAAUAUGAAGAGGCCACAAAGCUCACUGAAGAGGCAAGCAGGGGGUGAAAAUUCAACAAAGAAAAGGCCCAGGAAUUCAGAUCUGUAUGGAUGUGUGGCGUGGGAUCCAAUCAUUGAGGGGGCCGUGUGUAGAGAAGACCUGCUGUCUAAACGAGAUGAGUUGAAACGUGCCUUUCAAACCCAGGAUCUUCAGGAGUCAUCUGUUCGAAAAUUGAUGACUGAAACAUAUCCCAUUCAGCGUGAAAUCCUCAACGAUGAUGAUACCACUAUUGCCGUUGUAAAGGACGAGUGGCCGUUCCUGUUUGAAGUUCCUCACCUGUUUGAUCAUGCAUCUAAACUCCUUGGCUUCUCUGUACAAAACAAGCUGGCACAGGAACUUUCCAAAAAGAAAAGGGGAUCAAUGACUUCCUUGACUCCAAAGGGAUGAAGACGGGCGAAGGUCCAAUACAGCUCAUCUGUGGCAUUUCAAAAUACUUCAAGGAAGACUCUUAUAAACUCUUCCACAAAAAAGAGAUCUCUGCAGAUCCUGAAGUCGAACUCCCAGUGACCCCAUGCAUCCUAAUCAGAGGUGACCAGCAAUUCAAGAUUGCUGUUGAUGGGUCAAUGACCACAUCACCUCUCCCAUUGUGGCCUUGAGCUACGUCUUCUCCAUGUUUUAUGUCUGCAACGUCCAAUACCCACCGGAGAUGGCUUUUACUCUCGAAUUCAUGCAAAGAGUUUUCUUUGGGGUCAAUCCUGAGCGAGGCUCCAAGGCAGAGAAGAAGGGGAAGAAACGGCACUUCAUUCCUCCACAGGUGUGCAAGCUGGUUUCUCAGCUGAAGGAAUUUGAAUGCAAGCAGAAGGAAUCUGAAUGGGCCAUUUGAGCUGUUCUCAGAGCUCAGAAAAUACCUUUUUGGACUGAAUGUACACACACACACACACACACACACACAUACACACACACAAAGGCAAAUCCAAAAACAUGGGGCUUGGGAGUAGAAAUACAGAUUUUUACAGUAUUAGGUGAGUUCAGAUGUUUUAACUAGAUGCCCACAACACACAUGCUGCAGUUUCAAAUCCCCCAUGUUAAGGGGGAGGGAAGGUGGGCGAUAUUUGUCAUUCCGGUUAAGCUUUUCCUGUCAUUGUGGAGUUGGAGGUGUAAGUUUUAAUUUUUUUUGUAGUUUUAAGUUGUUUUAAGAGUUUUAAAAAUCUCUUUAUGGCAUGUUGCACAGUCAUCCUUCUAAGGUCAUGGUUGUUAUUGCUGCACUGAUGUUUUAUAGAAAAGUUGUAUAAUGUAAUACUUCUAAUGUUCUAUUUGUUUUUUGUAGAAAGGUUAGCCACUGGUUGCAGAGCUCUGCCUGUCGGUGUGAUAUGUGGAGUUGGAGGUGUAGGUUUCUGCAUCCUCCUGGAGGGGGCUCCUCAUUUUGCACUGACAGGUGAGACAGCAACAGCAAUGCUGGCAGUUUUAUUGUCUUAUUUUGUCAUUGUCUUUAACAAAUCAAUUUGUUAUUAAUGCCUGUCAGCCUGUGGAUGCUAAAAAGUUGCUAGAUUUGGCAUCUCCCUGUUAAAGGACAUGGCUGUACUUCUUUGAGAGAACAGCUGGUUUAUGUAUGUAAAAUUUCUCUGAAUGUGAAGGUGAUGUUCUGAAUGUUUUAAUGGUUGUAAUGUAAAUAUUGCAAAUCAUUCACCACAAAAAGUGAAAUCACUUUAAAGCACUGGCAGCUGUUAAAGGAAAUAAAUAAUUGCUGUGAUUCUA